UCCAUCAGUCCUUUGUGCCUAAAUCUAACCAACCACGGAAGGCACGACACAAUAUCAACCAAUCAGAAGCAACGCAAGGCGGAUCUUGGCAUCUCUAACUUUCUUUCACACACAACAGCGCUGCCAUUUAAAACCCACUUGACGUUCUCCUGCUUGCUAAAGAGUGGACAGCAGCUGCCAGGGAAUACACGGUGUCCUUCUGCAGAGCUUCCUCUAUUAAUCGUCUUCGGGCUCCUCACCUCUGCCGUGAUGUCCAUAGACGCUGCUCAGCCCAGCUCUGUCACCCACUCGCCUGGUUCUGACAGCACCACGCGGGGGCGCAGGGGUACAUUUUGG